UGUGUGUUAGUGGAAGCGUCUGGAAAGGCGCGCGAUACAGGGUGACAGCCCCGUACACAAAAAUGCACAUGCUGUGAGCUCGAUGAGUAGGGCGGGACACGUGGUAUCCUGUCUGAAUAUGGGGGGACCAUCCUCCAAGGCUAAAUACUCCUGACUGACCGAUAGUGAACCAGUACCGUGAGGGAAAGGCGAAAAGAACCCCGGCGAGGGGAGUGAAAAAGAACCUGAAACCGUGUACGUACAAGCAGUGGGAGCACGCUUAGGCGUGUGACUGCGUACCUUUUGUAUAAUGGGUCAGCGACUUAUAUUCUGUAGCAAGGUUAACCGAAUAGGGGAGCCGAAGGGAAACCGAGUCUUAACUGGGCGUUAAGUUGCAGGGUAUAGACCCGAAACCCGGUGAUCUAGCCAUGGGCAGGUUGAAGGUUGGGUAACACUAACUGGAGGACCGAACCGACUAAUGUUGAAAAAUUAGCGGAUGACUUGUGGCUGGGGGUGAAAGGCCAAUCAAACCGGGAGAUAGCUGGUUCUCCCCGAAAGCUAUUUAGGUAGCGCCUCGUGAAUUCAUCUCCGGGGGUAGAGCACUGUUUCGGCAAGGGGGUCAUCCCGACUUACCAACCCGAUGCAAACUGCGAAUACCGGAGAAUGUUAUCACGGGAGACACACGGCGGGUGCUAACGUCCGUCGUGAAGAGGGAAACAACCCAGACCGCCAGCUAAGGUCCCAAAGUCAUGGUUAAGUGGGAAACGAUGUGGGAAGGCCCAGACAGCCAGGAUGUUGGCUUAGAAGCAGCCAUCAUUUAAAGAAAGCGUAAUAGCUCACUGGUCGAGUCGGCCUGCGCGGAAGAUGUAACGGGGCUAAACCAUGCACCGAAGCUGCGGCAGCGACACUGUGUGUUGUUGGGUAGGGGAGCGUUCUGUAAGCCUGCGAAGGUGUGCUGUGAGGCAUGCUGGAGGUAUCAGAAGUGCGAAUGCUGACAUAAGUAACGAUAAAGCGGGUGAAAAGCCCGCUCGCCGGAAGACCAAGGGUUCCUGUCCAACGUUAAUCGGGGCAGGGUGAGUCGACCCCUAAGGCGAGGCCGAAAGGCGUAGUCGAUGGGAAACAGGUUAAUAUUCCUGUACUUGGUGUUACUGCGAAGGGGGGACGGAGAAGGCUAUGUUGGCCGGGCGACGGUUGUCCCGGUUUAAGCGUGUAGGCUGGUUUUCCAGGCAAAUCCGGAAAAUCAAGGCUGAGGCGUGAUGACGAGGCACUACGGUGCUGAAGCAACAAAUGCCCUGCUUCCAGGAAAAGCCUCUAAGCAUCAGGUAACAUCAAAUCGUACCCCAAACCGACACAGGUGGUCAGGUAGAGAAUACCAAGGCGCUUGAGAGAACUCGGGUGAAGGAACUAGGCAAAAUGGUGCCGUAACUUCGGGAGAAGGCACGCUGAUACGUAGGUGAAGUCCCUCGCGGAUGGAGCUGAAAUCAGUCGAAGAUACCAGCUGGCUGCAACUGUUUAUUAAAAACACAGCACUGUGCAAACACGAAAGUGGACGUAUACGGUGUGACGCCUGCCCGGUGCCGGAAGGUUAAUUGAUGGGGUCAGCGCAAGCGAAGCUCUUGAUCGAAGCCCCGGUAAACGGCGGCCGUAACUAUAACGGUCCUAAGGUAGCGAAAUUCCUUGUCGGGUAAGUUCCGACCUGCACGAAUGGCGUAAUGAUGGCCAGGCUGUCUCCACCCGAGACUCAGUGAAAUUGAACUCGCUGUGAAGAUGCAGUGUACCCGCGGCAAGACGGAAAGACCCCGUGAACCUUUACUAUAGCUUGACACUGAACAUUGAGCCUUGAUGUGUAGGAUAGGUGGGAGGCUUUGAAGUGUGGACGCCAGUCUGCAUGGAGCCGACCUUGAAAUACCACCCUUUAAUGUUUGAUGUUCUAACGUUGACCCGUGAUCCGGGUUGCGGACAGUGUCUGGUGGGUAGUUUGACUGGGGCGGUCUCCUCCUAAAGAGUAACGGAGGAGCACGAAGGUUGGCUAAUCCUGGUCGGACAUCAGGAGGUUAGUGCAAUGGCAUAAGCCAGCUUGACUGCGAGCGUGACGGCGCGAGCAGGUGCGAAAGCAGGUCAUAGUGAUCCGGUGGUUCUGAAUGGAAGGGCCAUCGCUCAACGGAUAAAAGGUACUCCGGGGAUAACAGGCUGAUACCGCCCAAGAGUUCAUAUCGACGGCGGUGUUUGGCACCUCGAUGUCGGCUCAUCACAUCCUGGGGCUGAAGUAGGUCCCAAGGGUAUGGCUGUUCGCCAUUUAAAGUGGUACGCGAGCUGGGUUUAGAACGUCGUGAGACAGUUCGGUCCCUA
rnacentral:rRNA from 1 species